UACGUAGGGUGCGAGCGUUAAUCGGAAUUACUGGGCGUAAAGCGUGCGCAGGCGGUUGGUUAAGUCUGAUGUGAAAGCCCCGGGCUCAACCUGGGAAUGGCAUUGGAAACUGGCUGGCUAGAGUGUGGCAGAGGGGGGUGGAAUUCCGCGUGUAGCAGUGAAAUGCGUAGAGAUGCGGAGGAACACCGAUGGCGAAGGCAGCCCCCUGGGCUAGCACUGACGCUGAUGCACGAAAGCGUGGGGAGCAAACAGG
rnacentral:rRNA from 1 species